AUGUACAGUGUCAUUCACAUUGAUGAGAAGUGGUUCUACCGCACUAAAGGUACCCAGAACUACUACUUGGCACCUGAUGAAGAAGAACCCUAUCGCAGCACACAGAGCAAGGGAUUUAUCGAGAAAGUGAUGUUCUUGGCAGCAGUAGCAAGGCCUCGUUAUGAUGAUCAUGGUGUCAUGACUUUUGAUGGCAAGAUUGGAAUUUGGCCGUUCACAUAUCAGGACUUUGCAAAGAGGCGUAGCCCUUACCGAGAGAGGGGGGAAGAGGUAACCAAGGUUUUGUCGUCGGUGACGAAGGAUGUCAGUAGAGAUUAUAUGGUGAACAAGCUGCUACCUGCCAUCAAGGCUUUGUGGCCGGCUUCGGAACGCGGACGCAUAAUAUACAUUCAGCAAGAUAAUGCAAAGACCCAUGUUGCUGUGAAUGACAGUGUGUUUUGUGCAGCGGCACAGGCGGAUGGAUGGGAUAUUAGGCUUACAUGUCAGCCGCCGAACUCACCUGAUUUGAACAUUCUUGACUUAGGAUUCUUUGCUGCACUUCAGGCUCUUUUUGAGAAGAUGUCCCCUGGUAAAAUUGUUGAUAUUGUUGCAAAGGUGAAAAAAGCAUAUGACACCUACCCGGCUGAGAGAAGCAACCGUAUUUUUCUUACCCUUCAGUCAUGCAUGUGCGAGGUACUGAAGCAGAAAGGAGGUAACCGGUACAAGGUUCCGCACAUGGGGAAGUCAUUUCUGGCGGCACUCGAAAUGCUUCCGGACGUAGUACCCUGCGAUGCUGAUGUUGUAAUUGCUGCUAUUGAAGCCCUUCUAGAUGCUUGA
rnacentral:rRNA from 1 species